rnacentral:misc_RNA from 1 species
UUUCCGUAGGUGAACCUGCGGAAGGUUCAUUCAUAAUAAAGUGUUUUAUGGCACUUUUUAAAAAUCCAUAUCCACCUUGUGUGCAAUGUUAGAUCUCGUCAAUCUUGGCGAGAUUUUUAUACAUCAACUCAUUCUUUAACUAAUUUGUCUGAAAAAUAUUAUGAAUACUUAAUUCAAAAUACAACUUUCAACAACGGAUCUCUUGGCUCUC